UACGUAGGGUGCGAGCGUUAAUCGGAAUUACUGGGCGUAAAGCGUGCGCAGGCGGUUGUGCAAGACCGAUGUGAAAGCCCCGGGCUUAACCUGGGAAUGGCAUUGGUGACUGCACGGCUAGAGUGUGUCAGAGGGGGGUAGAAUUCCACGUGUAGCAGUGAAAUGCGUAGAGAUGUGGAGGAAUACCGAUGGCGAAGGCAGCCCCCUGGGAUAACACUGACGCUCAUGCACGAAAGCGUGGGGAGCAAACAGG
rnacentral:rRNA from 1 species